CUUUGUUUCCAGUAACCUCUUGAAUUCAGGGGCUCGCACAAAGAAUCGUAUGCACAUGUGGAACGGAAGAAAGAGAUGAAGUUAUGCCUCGUGGUUAAGAGAGCACGUUUUUCUGUUUUCAGUUAAAAAGUCUGCUGCAAAAUAUCUGAAAAAAGACAUUUUUUAAUCCAGGUUGGGCAGAUUCUAGUCUCAAUCCUCAGUGGAAUCCAUGGUUGCAACCUAUCGAAUUAGCUCCUAACAUGGCAAGAUGCACGUUUUGCCAACAAAAUAUCAUGCUUAGUACCAUGGGAAGGAAAGCAGUUACAAGCCACAUAAACAGUGUAAAACAUAAGAAAAUCAUUUUUGUGAAGAUGAACUCUGAAAACUUAAAAAACUAUUUCUCCAUAGAUAAAAGCAGUUCUGAAACACAGCAGUCUUCGGCACUAGUUGCUGAAUCAUCAAAUUUAAACGCGUUCACACCUGAGGACAAAGUUUUUGCUGCGGAAUUACUGUGGGCUAUGAAAUUUGUUUCUUCAGAUGUUUCUUAUAAUGCAUUUAAUGCUGCUGCUGUUCUGUUCCAGAAAGUGUUUGAUGACAGCAAUAAAGCUAAAGCUAUGACCCUGGGACAUACAAAAAUGUCAUAUUUAGUGUCAUUUGGUUUAGCUCCAUACUUCAAAAAGAUGCUCAUUUCUGAUCUUAGAACACUGAAUUUGUAAUUUGCUUCAAUGAAGCAUUAAAUAGAAUUGUCCAGAGAGGCAAAAUGGAUCUUUUUGUUAGAUUUUGGGACAGUGCGAGGAAUGAAGAUACCUCACAUCAAUUUUUUGGGGACAUGUAUCUGCCAAUGACCUUCUGAGAAGUUUCUUUGAGGGAACCUCAGAGCUAGAUAAAAAGAAAUUGCUGCAAGUAUCAUUGGAUGGACCAAAUGUCAAUCUUAAAUUCCUCAGAGAUUUGAAA